rnacentral:misc_RNA from 1 species
GAUGAAGAACGUAGCGAAAUGCGAUAAGUAGUGUGAAUUGCAGAAUUCAGUGAAUCAUCGAAUCUUUGAACGCACAUUGCGCCCCUUGGAAUCCCGAGGGGCAUGCCUGUUCGAGCGUCAUUUCACCACUCAAGCCUGGCUUGGUGUUGGGCGACGUCCUCUUUGGGGACGCGCCUCGAAACGCUCGGCGGCGUGGCACCGGCUUUAAGCGUAGCAGAAUCUUUCGCUUUGGAAGUCGGGGCCCCGUCUGCCGGAAGACCUGCUCGCAAGGUUGACCUCGGAUCAGGCAGGGAUACCCGCUGAACUUAAGCAUAUCAAUAAGCGGAGGA